AGUGAACGCUGGCGGUAGGCCUAACACAUGCAAGUCGAACGGCAGCACAGUAAGAGCUUGCUCUUACGGGUGGCGAGUGGCGGACGGGUGAGGAAUACAUCGGAAUCUACUUUUUCGUGGGGGAUAACGUAGGGAAACUUACGCUAAUACCGCAUACGACCUACGGGUGAAAGCAGGGGAUCUUCGGACCUUGCGCGAUUGAAUGAGCCGAUGUCGGAUUAGCUAGUUGGCGGGGUAAAGGCCCACCAAGGCGACGAUCCGUAGCUGGUCUGAGAGGAUGAUCAGCCACACUGGAACUGAGACACGGUCCAGACCCCUACGGGAGGCAGCAGUGGGGAAUAUUGGACAAUGGGCGAAAGCCUGAUCCAGCAACACCGCGGGGGUGAAGAAGGCCUUCGGGUUGUAAAGCCCUUUUGUUGGGAAAGAAAAGAAGCGGGUUAAACCCCCCCUGUUUUGACGGUACCCAAAGAAAAAGCACCGGCUAACUUCGU
rnacentral:rRNA from 1 species